GUCACGUCGACGUAUAAGGAAAUUCAGACAAAAUGUACGUCUACUCUCGACGUGUGGAUAAGUUCGUCGCCACUAAGACGCCUGCUGCCCUACGUCGCCGUGAGAACGCCUGAACUAGUGUCUCCGCUUGCCCGCUCCUCAAAAAACCUCCAAACAGCCGAUGCUUGGGGCUCCUCCGGCUCAUGUGCUGCUGCUCCCUCCUCUCCUCCAUGACCCCCUUGCAGGGCUCCAGGACGCUGCAGGCCUCUUGCAGAGCCUCCCACUCCUCUUGGCUGAGAGGAGCCAC